rnacentral:rRNA from 1 species
GAUGAACGCUAGCGGCAGGCCCAACACAUGCAAGUCGAGGGGCAGCACGUAAAGAUGCAGCAAUGUAGCUUUUGGUGGCGACCGGCGGACGGGUGCGUAACGCGUAUGCAACCUACCUUUUACAGGGGGAUAACGGAUGGAAACGUCCACUAAUACCCCAUAAUAUCCGAAGAGGCAUCUCUUUGGGUUGAAAACUCCGGUGGUAAAAGAUGGGCAUGCGUUGUAUUAGGUAGUUGGUGAGGUAAUGGCUCACCAAGCCUACGAUACAUAGGGGGACUGAGAGGUUAGCCCCCCACACUGGUACUGAGACACGGACCAGACUCCUACGGGAGGCAGCAGUGAGGAAUAUUGGUCAAUGGGGGCAACCCUGAACCAGCCAUGCCGCGUGCAGGAAGACGGCUCUAUGAGUUGUAAACUGCUUUUGUACAGGGAUAAAUCGGGAUACGUGUAUUCCGUUGAAGGUACUGUACGAAUAAGGAUCGGCUAACUCCGUGCCAGCCGCCGCCGUAAAAC